UCCUACGGGGCGCAGCAGUGGGGAAUAUUGCGCAAUGGGCGAAAGCCUGACGCAGCGACGCCGCGUGAGGGAUGAAGGUCUUCGGAUCGUAAACCUCUGUCAGCAGGGAAGAACGGUCACUGUGCUAAUCAGCAGUGGAUUGACGGCACCUGCAAAGGAAGCACCGGCUAACUCCGUGCCAGCAGCCGCGGUAAUACGGAGGGUGCGAGCGUUAAUCGGAAUUACUGGGCGUAAAGCGCUCGUAGGCGGUAUGUCAAGUCAAGGGUGAAAUCCCCGCGCCCAACGCGGGAACUGCCUUUGAAACG
rnacentral:rRNA from 1 species